AAAAAAAGGUAAAAAAGACGGAAGCGGGAAAGUGAAAAGAGAGAGAAUUGGAUUUUUUGGGGUGAGAGAAGCUUCCAGGAAACGUCUGCGAAUUUUCCUUAUUGUUUUCGUUUGUUUGGAAGCUUUUUCAGCUUGUUUGUCGACUUGUAAUUCACAGUGACGGCUUUUUAUCACUGUUUGCUAUUCUGUUUGGACUCGGACCUUAAACCCUCGCACGGUCGCCAUAGCCGUGAUCUUCCCCCCAGAGCUGCGGGAUCUCGUGAUCGGAGCCGUUCGAUUACGGAUUCUCAUCAUUUUUUCAAAGUAAUCAUUGCGGUUCCUGAUCAAUUUUUGGAUUCGAACGUGAUUACAUUAGCAGAGGAUCGGAGUGCUGCAUUUUCAAAGAGACAAACGCUUCCCAAAAAGUUUUUCGCUUAUUGCAACACGCCAAUACUACGCCGUCGCUUUGGUAUCGCUUCUGUUUGUUUGUUUUUCGGUUUUCUCCUUUUUUGAAUAUAGUAAUCCAUAACAUGUUUGGUAAUA